UGGGAUUGCACACACCACCACGUUUUUAAUGUGUUCAGCUCAUUGUCGCCGUGUUUAUACUGUUCAGGAUUCUCUUCCCACUGCAGGGGCGUCUUGCGGGUCACUGUAAUCCCUCACAGACAUACUCGGGCCCAUCGUCUAGGAUGAUUCUAGAUUUUGCCAAAUGACAACAAACACGACUAUCAAGUAUCAAAUUUUAGCUUUUUUUUUCUUAACAUUUCCCUCUUGAUUUUGCCCCCCCCAGCCCCCCAACAUCUCGAGCUUCUCCAAGCUACUCAGGAGACGUGUGUGUUAGACCAGAUCUGUGUGCUGCUUUGGGAAGUAGCUUUCUUGGCUUGUACUCAAGAUAGCGCAAGUUAAUUUGGCUCCGGACCCAUAACUUUCCAUCUCUACAAUCUUGGAAAUUCACUCAGCCUUGUGGCAUCUCUAAGACAGCUGAAUCCCGCAAGGAGUUUGAUCAGAGUAUCACUCAAUCUAUAGACAAAUUUGAGGAGAACUGGCGUAACACUAAAUUUUAUAAUAUAAGCAGACCUUGAAAAAUACUGGCAAAUGCUUCGUGCAGUUCCCAGAGAACUGAGACAUGUGACGGAGAGUGCUUUUCCAGACUAAGAAGUAACUCAGAAAACACCGGCUACCUACUUUUGUAGGCAUAUAUUCCUUUCAGACAGGGUUUCUCUGUGGAGCCCACCAACAGGACCAGUCAUAGCCAAGAGCACUAAGGAGAUGAGGGGCACCACUGAAAGCACAGUAAACCCAGGUUUUCUCAAGAGUUUCUCACAGUAACACUUACCCAAGCUAACAGACAGAAAUCCCAUUAAUAGCCACAGCAAACUAAAGGACUUCUGUGUGUUAUAGAACAGCACAGAAUCUGACAGUGGUUUUUCUUCAACUCACUUAAAAGGUAAGUAAGGUGGAGGGAAAAUGGAAAAUUCAGGUUGGCAACAGCAGAGAGUCUGGAUUUAACCUUGUCUCCCUAAAAAGAAGCCUUACUAAAAAUGAACGUCUGAGGCGCAGACAAAAAGGGUUUGCAAAGAAUUGACUCACUUUCCUCCUCCACUGUUGAGAGCUGGGGCUGGCCUUGUCAGCAAGUCUGAGAUCUGAGAGGACAGCUUGGUCUUGGCUGCUGUCUGCUGCUGGACCCGCACUUCAGCUGCGUCUGCUAAGUGCAUUAAGGUCUUCCGCUCUGGGCUUUCUUCAAAAUUCUUACAGCCAAUGCAUUUGCAGAUGGAGGAACACAUUAUUUUUGCCUGAAAGAUUUACAAAAGGGAAGUUUCCAAAUCAAAAACAGAAAAUAUGACUGUAAGUAGGUUCCACAACAGAAAAGUAAUAGCAUUAUCUUGUCAUCCAAGGUAAGCGUGAACGGAAGCACACUCUGCAGGUCCAGAGGCUGUGCCUGUGGGUGGAGUGAGGAGUACUUGAGGACAGUGCUUUACCAGGCCUUUCAGCUCCCAGUCUGACUUCAGAGUCUCACCCACAGAGAACUAACCUUCAGUUCAGAACGGAUAUAAAUAAAACAUGAACAUAUUUUAAAAAGGUCACUAAGAACCCAACCCCAAUCAAAUCACCAUUAACACAGACAAACUCACAAUUUCACACUAAAGGGAUUUCAUGCCUGAGCUUGGUCAGAUGAGGUAGAAAGACUGACUGUCAAGAAUUUGAAGCCAGCUUAGGCUACAAGUGUGAGUCUUAUCUCGGAAGGACAAAGGGAAAAGGGGAUUUCAAGCAUUGCUUUCUCCUCCUUCACUGAACCAGAUUACCAAGUCCUUCAAUAAUCAAAUCCAUAUGCCAGUAUGUUCUCAUAUGUACAAAUUGAAAGUAUGUUUUCAUGAAAACACAGACUGAAGCUAGGUAUGAUGGCCACAUCUAUAAUCCCAGCACUUGGAAAACAGAAGUAGGAAGAUUAGUGGUUCAAGGCCAGCCUAUGCUGCAUGAGCUUGUUUUACAAAAUCACCUGAUGGCUUUGGAGCGCCUCCUUUCCUUACGCUUCACAGCUCUCAGUCACCCAGCAGAGCUGGAUCCCUGGCAUGACUUGCCAUGCUUUCUGGGUCAUUCAUUACCCUAAUAAAAAGUGAUGGGCUUUU